CUUAGGCGUGUGACUGCGUACCUUUUGUAUAAUGGGUCAGCGACUUAUAUUCUGUAGCAAGGUUAACCGAAUAGGGGAGCCGAAGGGAAACCGAGUCUUAACUGGGCGUUAAGUUGCAGGGUAUAGACCCGAAACCCGGUGAUCUAGCCAUGGGCAGGUUGAAGGUUGGGUAACACUAACUGGAGGACCGAACCGACUAAUGUUGAAAAAUUAGCGGAUGACUUGUGGCUGGGGGUGAAAGGCCAAUCAAACCGGGAGAUAGCUGGUUCUCCCCGAAAGCUAUUUAGGUAGCGCCUCGUGAAUUCAUCUCCGGGGGUAGAGCACUGUUUCGGCAAGGGGGUCAUCCCGACUUACCAACCCGAUGCAAACUGCGA
rnacentral:rRNA from 1 species